GUCUACGGCCAUGCCACCCUGAACAAGCCUGAUGUCUGAUCUCAGAAGCUAAGCAGGGUUGGGCCUGGUUAGUACUUGGAUGGGAGACCACCUAGGAAGACCAGGUGCUGUAGGCA
rnacentral:rRNA from 1 species